AUGCCUCCUCCGCCGCCGCCGCACGACCCUCGCGCUGGAUACGGCGUGGAGUCUUCCAGCGUCGUGACGGCGCCCGAUCGCCACAUGAGUCGCGGAACCCCUUCCCGGAGGCCCCUCUGGCCACGGCGAUGGCCCGACAUUUCGCCCGAGCCGUCGCCGCUUCUCCCAUCCACACAAGGGGGAAGGUACGGCGAGCACCAGUACCACCGCGCUCGUGACGAGAGCAGCCCCUGCUUCCACUCGCCGUGCAGGGGAUCCGAAUCACUGCCGUCGUCUUCCAAGCGAUGCCCGCCGGAAGGCGCACGCAAGGGCUCUUCAGUCGGCGGCAGGCACUGGUCCGAUGAUGACGAUGCGGGUACUGGAAGCAGAUGCCAGUAUGAUCAUGAGCUGGCCUACCCAUCAAGCUGUCAUAGAGCGCACCGCCAUCUCGGCAGUAACAAGAGGGCCUUCAGUCCACGCCACCAUGGCGGAAGAAGCUCAAGUGUCCAACACCGCCCGUCGCCAAGAGGGAAGCCACAGUUGCCAUUGCCCAUGGAAAUGUCUCCAUGGGAUGAUGGCUAUACGAGCCCGUCAAGUCCAAGUUACGCCCGUGAGGUUGAACAAUAUAGACAGAGAGGUUUACAUGAUGAUGAUCAGGAUAUGACCCCAGAUUGCCUUUAUUCAGCACCUGGUUCCUCUGAUGGUUCAGGGAUCUUUAGAAGGGAACCCAGUUUCAAAUAUGAAGAUCCUGUCCUCAACACUGAAAGCAAAGAUUUUGCAUAUGAUGCAUUGGUAGAUGAUUUUAUGGAUGCUGUGGCGAAAACUGGGCGUAAUCGUAAUCCUAAUUUAGAAGUGGAUAAAGAUGCUCACGAGAAGCAAACAAAUCGAUUUGCUGAACUCGCUCUGAAGCGUUACAACAAAAACAAAAACAACAAGGUUAAAUAUGCUCUUGUUGAGGCAAUUGAUGGUGGUGCUAUUUGGGAGGACUCUGAAAUCUACGCCCAUGUGAACUUCUAUGCCAAGGCCAAGAAUGGCCCAAAGAAGCAUGAUGGGAAGGUACUUGUGUUUGCGGAGUUGCAUCAGGUUGGCCGGCGUCUCAAUGCUAUGGUUCUUACUUGCUUCCGCUUCCUGGAUGAAAGCAACCAACUAUGUGGACGUUAUGAUCAGCCUCGAAACUCUCUUAUCAGGCAAAAUCAGGAUCCGGGGCACUGCUAUGCAUGUAGUGACAUAAUCAAGCAUCCUGAUGGAUCGUGCUACAAGGCUGGACAUAUCGUCUGCACGUUGUAUUAUCUUUGCAACUACAGCGUUGUUUGA
rnacentral:rRNA from 1 species